UUUUAGUCCCUUUAAAAUUUUCCAUCAACAUUUUAGUCCUAUAAAAAAUUUCAUCAGCAUUUUUCACUAGUACAAAAAACACUUAUUACAUCUAGGAUUUUAAAUGGGUUGUUAUCCACCUGACUUAAAAUGCUGGGUGUAAGGAAAGUUUUUAACUCCUAAAAAAAAAUUUCACAUUUCAUUAUCCCUUUUCACUUUCACUUUUCCCUUUCCCCUUUUCACUUUCCCUUUUCCCUUUCCCCUUCACUCCAACACCAUCAUGAAACCCACUCCACCAUUUCACCAAACCAAUCCACCAAACCACCAAUCGAACUCAAUCCACCACCGUGAAAACCCAAUCGAACUCAGAACCCAAACCACCACCGUUCUCCCUUUUCCUCCAUUUUCAAUCAUAACCCAAUCCCAAACCACCACCGUGAAACCCAAAGUCAGACCCCAAACCACCGUGAAACACCAUCUCUGCACCAUCGUUGUCUCUCUCCAUCGCUGUCUCGCUACAUCUUCAACGUCGGUCUCAAAUUCCAGAUCAAAAAGCUAUCGCACAAUCGCCGAGUCGCCGUGAAACCAUGUUCCUCUUCGUCGCGACAUCGUAAUUUCUAGUUUAAUGAAGGGCCUCAAUUUCUAUUUGUGAAGAAGUGCAAUACAUACAUCCUGGUGAGGUAUAAAUUUCACAUUGACAUUCUG